AUUAUAUAUCAAUAUACUAAAUAAAUAAAUGAUUGGGAAUACGUUAAAGUAAUAAAAAGUCAAGAGAAUUUCAGAACGCAAUUUGGUUCCGAACAAUAUCUAUCACGCUUUGUGCAUGCAGACUCCACGCGGCCUUCACGUGAUUUUACUAUUUUUAGAAUAAUUGCAUAGUAACCAAAUGCACUAGAUUCAACCUUUACUAAUUAUGCAUUAUUUUUGACCUGGUCUUGAUUAAUGUCCUAUAAUAAGAACCCAUGCAGCUUUCACCUGAUUCUCUAUUUAUAGAAAAAUGUCAGAGUAACCUGUCCAUAUGAACUUGAUUGAUUCUUAUCAUGUUAUUUAUAAGGAGCGCCUAAAUAAAUAUCUUAUUAACAG
rnacentral:lncRNA from 1 species